rnacentral:rRNA from 1 species
AGCAGUAGGAGCAGGCUUUGUCCUGUGACUGCGUACCUUUUGUAUAAUGGGUCAGCGACUUAUAUUCAGUGGCAAGGUUAACCAUCUAGGGGAGCCGUAGGGAAACCGAGUCUUAACUGGGCGUUCAGUCUCUGGAUAUAGACCCGAAACCAGGUGAUCUAGCCAUGGGCAGGUUGAAGGUUGAGUAACAUCAACUGGAGGACCGAACCGACUAAUGUUGAAAAAUUAGCGGAUGACUUGUGGCUAGGGGUGAAAGGCCAAUCAAACCUGGAGAUAGCUGGUUCUCCCCGAAAGCUAUUUAGGUAGCGCCUCGGACGAAUACUACUGGGGGUAGAGCACUGUUAAG